AUACGGCCAUAUCACUUUGAAUCACCAGUUCACGUACGAUCACUGAAGUUAAGCAACGUCGAGCCUAGUCAGUAUCUAGAUGGGUGACCGCUUCGGAAUACAAAAUGCUGUAAG